AACGCACGAGACCUGCGGACCUGCGGAGGGAUCAUUAGUGAACGCCCUCACGGGCUUAUAACUAUUCCGAACCUCUGUGAACCGUGCCCUUCGGGGCUAUUUUACAAACAUGGUGUAAUGAACGUCAUAUAUCAUAACAAAACAAAACUUUUAACAAUGGAUCUCU
rnacentral:misc_RNA from 1 species